rnacentral:rRNA from 3 species
CUGCGAAUGGCUCAUUAUAUAAGUUAUCGUUUAUUUGAUAGUACCUUACUACUUGGAUAACCGUGGUAAUUCUAGAGCUAAUACAUGCUAAAAAUCCCGACUUCGGAAGGGAUGUAUUUAUUAGAUACAAAACCAAUGCCCCUCGGGGCUCUCUGGUGAUUCAUGAUAACUCGUCGAAUCGCACGGCCUUGCGCCGGCGAUGGUUCAUUCAAAUUUCUUCCCUAUCAACUUUCGAUGUUUGGGUAGUGGCCAAACAUGGUGGCAACGGGUAACGGAGGGUUAGGGCUCGACCCCGGAGAAGGAGCCUGAGAAACGGCUACUACAUCCAAGGAAGGCAGCAGGCGCGCAAAUUACCCAAUCCCGAUACGGGGAGGUAGUGACAAUAAAUACUGAUACAGGGCUCUUUUGGGUCUUGUAAUUGGAAUGAGUACAAUUUAAAUCCCUUAACGAGGAACAAUUGGAGGGCAAGUCUGGUGCCAGCAGCCGCGGUAAUUCCAGCUCCAAUAGCGUAUAUUAAAGUUGUUGUGGUUAAAAAGCUCGUAGUUGAAUCUUGGGCCUGGCUGGCCGGUCCGCCUCACCGCGUGUACUGGUCCGGCCGGGUCUUUCACUCUGCGGAACCACAUGCCCUUCAGUGGGUGUGGCGGGGAAGCAGGACGUUUACUUUGAAAAAAUUAGAGUGCUCUAAGCAGGCCAAUGCUCGGAUACAUUAGCAUGGAAUAAUAAAAUAGGACGCGCGGUUCUAUUUUGUUGGUUUCUAGGACCGCCGUAAUGAUGAAUAGGGACAGUCGGGGGCAUCAGUAUUCAGUUGUCAGAGGUGAAAUUCUUGGAUCUACUGAAGACUAACUACUGCGAAAGCAUUUGCCAAGGAUGUUUUCAUUAAUCAGGAACGAAAGUUAGGGGAUCGAAGACGAUCAGAUACCGUCGUAGUCUUAACCAUAAACUAUGCCGACUAGGGAUCGGACGAUGUUAUUUAGUUGACUCGUUCGGCACCUUACGAGAAAUCAAAGUGC